AAUAAUAGAAUGACGUUCGGCUGUUUUUUAGAUGUGUUGGUUGUGCAUUCAACGCGUGGACGCAUCUUGUUCGGCCGUCUAGAAUAGUUUGUAAAUGAAAUUUUAUCACCGUAGUCAUAGUUCAUGCGAGCAGCCAUAGUUCAUGCUGGCAACAAAGUCAACGACUUGCAUAUAUAUACCAUCCUACAGAAUGAUCAAUCCCUCAAAUCUCUCGCUGUCAACAAAACCAGCGGACAACACCCUUGCGAGGCUUUAAAAUAAACCUCAAGUUUUGUUGUCGUCAACUCAACCAGCGGUCGACACACUUGCCAACCUUCAAAAAGAACGGUCAUAGUCCACGGCCAAGCCCUCCCUAGUUCAUGUCGUGUUGGUCGAACAUCUUCUUUUGUCGGCUAUCGAACUAACUUAUUCUCCUCCAAGACAUGUUGGUCAAGUCCACACUCAUGAUUGCUAACACAACCUCUUUUUCUUUGGUCUCGGCAUUGGUGGCCUCGAUCGCAAGCUUCUUUAUUUGGGUGUCCUCCUCAAUGUCGAGCUUCCUCUUCUUGGC
rnacentral:lncRNA from 1 species